rnacentral:rRNA from 1 species
GACGAACGCUGGCGGCGUGCUUAACACAUGCAAGUCGAACGGAAAGGCCCUGCUUGCAGGGUACUCGAGUGGCGAACGGGUGAGUAACACGUGGGUGAUCUGCCCUGCACGUUGGGAUAAGCCUGGGAAACUGGGUCUAAUACCGGAUAGGAGCAAUUUUUAGUGUGAUGGUUGGAAAGUUUUUUCGGUGUAGGAUGAGCUCGCGGCCUAUUAGCUUAUUGGUGGGGUAAUGGCCUACCAAGGCGGCGACGGGUAGCCGGCCUGAGAGGGUGGACGGCCACAUUGAGACUUAGAGACGGCCCAGACUCCUACGAGAGGCAACAGUGGGGAAUAUUGCACAAUGGGCGCAAGCCUGAUGCAGCGACGCCGCGGGUGGUAUAACGGCCUUCGGGUUGUAAACUCCUUUCACUAGAAACGAAUCUUUUUGUGACGGUACCUAGAUAAGAAGCACCGGCUAACUACGUG